rnacentral:misc_RNA from 1 species
GAUGAAGAACGUAGCGAAAUGCGAUAAGUAAUGUGAAUUGCAGAAUUCAGUGAAUCAUCGAAUCUUUGAACGCACCUUGCGCUCCUUGGUAUUCCGAGGAGCAUGCCUGUUUGAGUGUCAUGAAAUUCUCAACCUUUUCAGCUUUCUUUGUUGAUCAGGCUUGGAUGUGGGAGUAUGCGGGCUUCUCAGAAGUCGGCUCUCCUGAAAUGCAUUAGCGGGACCUUUGUUGCCUGGCUUUGGUGUGAUAAUUAUCUACGCCAUUGUGGUCAAGCAGCUUAAAUGAGGUUUCAGCUUCUAACCGUCUCCCCUGAGACAACUUUUUGACAAUUUGACCUCAAAUCAGGUAGGACUACCCGCUGAACUUAAGCAUAUCAAUAAGCGGAGGA